rnacentral:lncRNA from 1 species
UAUAACAAAUUAAUGAACACAAAUUUCUGAUAGAAUAUUUUCUCGAAUGGAUGAAAAAUGACGGUGAUGACGUAUGAGGAUUAAAAAAAAGAUGAAAAUAAGUUGACGAAAAAAAAGAAUAUUUUCUCGAAUGGAUGAAAAAUGACGGUGAUGACGUAUGAG